rnacentral:rRNA from 1 species
UAGCCGUAAACGAUACUCGCUAGGCGUCGGCCACGGUGCGACCGUUGUCGGUGCCGUAGGGAAGCCGUGAAGCGAGCCACCUGGGAAGUACGGCCGCAAGGCUGAAACUUAAAGGAAUUGGCGGGGGAGCACCGCAACGGGAGGAGCCUGCGGUUUAAUUGGACUCAACGCCGGGAAGCUCACCGGAUAAGACAGCGGAAUGAUUGCCGGGCUGAAGACCCUGCAUGACCAGCUGAGAGGAGGUGCAUGGCGUAGUCGUGU